rnacentral:lncRNA from 1 species
UCGUCCUGCCUCGUCGUUCACAGUUACUGAAGACUGCUCAAAGGGUUGCAAUGGAUCGAUCCAGGUACAUUCUCUUUUGCUUCCCCUGCCUUGAAUCAAGCGUGAUGGUGGGAGUAGUACUCACGAAAAUGUGUUUACAUUGCAGGUGGCUGCUGCAUCAAAACCAUCCGUUAACCAGGGAGAUGGUGAUCUAGAUGUGAUUAGCGAUAACUCAGGUGGCUGCCACGGUGUCUGUGCAGGUGCGCAUAGUGAACCAGAUAUUCGCAUAGGGAGUAUCUAGCUCGCAUGCAUAGUUAAUGAAUUCUUAUUUGCGCGGGAUAGCGGCGUGGACGAAGUACCAGUUCAAGAUGAAGCAGGGGAGCUGAUCCUGAACCAGAAGAUUGAAGGGGGUGUAGCAGCAGAGGAAGGGUUCGGAGAGCACGACCCUGCUGCUAAUCAAAUGCAGUCUGCCCUAAAAGAACCCAUGAAAGUCAACUUAGCAGAGGUUGGAGAUGUGGAGGAGAGUAAUCGGCGUAUCACCAAACGUGCUAGAAUCAACCCUGUAUCUGCAGUGUAGACCGCAUGUUGUUCAUCCAGAUUAGGCAAAGACGCCUUUGCCGUGCUGAUGGUGUAUCUACCGACUAAGUACUGUGGUCCUCUUAAGUGUGUUUGUAGCUUCCUUCCUGGUUGAUGCGUGGAGUAGUUAACUAAGUAGUAUGGCUUGCAGCAGUGGAUCUACUUGUAUGUGUUACUACUAAUUAAUGUGUGUCAAUGUGGCUCAUCUCUAUU